AGAUUGAACGCUGGCGGCGUGCCUAACACAUGCAAGUCGAGCGGUAACGCGGGAGCAAUCCUGGCGACGAGCGGCGAACGGGUGAGUAAUGCUUCGGAAUCUGCCCAAUGGUGGGGAAUAACCAGCCGAAAGGUUGGCUAAUACCGCAUACGUCCUACGGGAGAAAGCAGGGGAUCGCAAGACCUUGCGCCAAUGGAUGAGCCGAAGUCGGAUUAGCUAGUUGGUAGGGUAACGGCCUACCAAGGCGACGAUCCGUAGCUGGUCUGAGAGGACGACCAGCCACACUGGGACUGAGACACGGCCCAGACUCCUACGGGAGGCAGCAGUGGGGAAUAUUGGACAAUGGGGGAAACCCUGAUCCAGCGACGCCGCGUGUGUGAAGAAGGCCUGCGGGUUGUAAAGCACUUUUAGUGGGGAUGAAAAGUUCGGGGCUAAUACCUCCGGAUCUUGACCUAACCCACAGAAAAAGCACCGGCUAACUCUGUGCCAGCAGCCGC
rnacentral:rRNA from 1 species